GCAGCAUAAUCAAAGCAGACCAAAGCAGUACCUGGCUUUGCAGUUUUGCCACGAGAGAAGCAUCCAUAACUGGAUUCGACUGGAGCGUUGUGUUGCCAGAGUGCUUGAGCAGGACGAGUUUCUGGAAUGAGUGCUAAGGAUCUGACUGAAGUACAAAUCCAGCUGAACCUCGACAUUUGGCAGGAGAGCCACCACUGGAACCGCUGAAGCUGUCAUCGUUUUUGCAUGGAAAUUUGGAUCAAACGUCAUCACUUCAGUGCAGCGAGACAGUGAAACAGUGAAAGGGCCAUCGUUCUAUUCAACAAUCAACCUGUACUUCCAAAUGGCGUCCAACGGAGGCAACGUGUGUGUCGCCAGCUUGUCUCCCUGAAAAAGGGGGCAUUUCUUCAUCGUCUUCCUACGAUGAUGGUUCUGACACCAAGGUCUACAUCACUGUAGGAAGCGAAGACAAAAGCGAUGAUGACUGAGGUUAGCAGCUCCUUGGAAGAAGAAGACAAAGGCAAGCUCGCAGGACGACAUCACAAGUUCGUGUCUGGACCAGAAUUGAUGCGAACAGCAUUUUGCUGAAGCCUCCACUGUAUCUUUCUUUUCUGUACUCAGCAAGAAGUUUACCGUAAGCUCGCCAGCUGAAUUAUACCGAGUGUUUUCUAGAGGAGCUGCUUUUCAUGACAGUCGAUGAAAUGAAUCAAAAUACUCAAAAUCAAAAUACUCAAAUGCUCAAGGCUGCGUAAUCCCUAGUUUUGAGCAGUACCACCCUCUGCCAAAGCUCCCUCAGCCAAACAACGUUCUGUUAGCAUGAGCAGCUAAUGUGAUAAAGACAAAAAAAUUCCCUUCCACAAUUUUUGUCGAUUACUAGAAGGUGGUUGGUGCACUUGUACUAUGGCAUACAAUAAACUUCA